rnacentral:lncRNA from 1 species
GAAGAAGAAAGAAGAAGAAGAAGAAGAAGAAGCAGCAGCAGAAGAAGCAGAAGCAGCAGCAGCAGCAGCAGCUCAGUGAGAUCCUAUCUCAAAACAAAAAGUAAAAUGGACUUGGGAAGUGAUUCACUGGUUAAGUGCCCUUGAGUUCAAUCCUCCAUAUCAAAAAAAAAAAAAAAAAAAAAAGAAGUAUACUUGUAAAUUGUUUUGCACAGGUAUUGGUCAAGUGAAAUGGGACUCUAUCACUUAUGAUGACUUUCAGCUUUUUUUCCCCUUUUCUCUUCUGGGACUGAGGAUUGAACCCAAAGCUUCAUACAUGCUAGACAAGCAUUUUGCCACUAAGCCAUAUCCUCAGCCAAAGUCUCUUCUUUUUCAAACCAUAUUUGUAAAUCAGUAAUUACACCACAAUACAGUCCUAUCCAAACAGACAUACUUAAGUUUUUUUUUGAAGUAUUAACUCUAUUGCAGAGUUAUUUAUUAUUCAGAGUACCUGUUAGCAACAUCACAGAACUACUAUUACUUUAUUACAUUCUCCUUUCUAGUUGAGUUGCAAGAAACUGAACACAGUGGGAUUGAUAAAAUAAGCAACAUUAUAUACAAAACAAGGGUGAAUAUUUUAUUGGAUUGUAUUUGUUAAUCAUAUUUUGGCCUCAUGAGCACUCAUGUUCUUUGAAUUGUACCAUUUCCAUAGAUAUUUGGGGAUUUGAAUAGAGUCUGUAUACAUUGAUCCACUUCCUUCCCUGGAGGACCAAGGCUUAAGAAGAGUGAAUGAUUUGCCCAAGGCCACACUAUUUGUUAAUGGUAGAACAGUGUUACAUAGAGAGUAUCCAUAGGUAUUUUGGUAGUUUGGUAAUUAUAGUUCAUUUGACAAAAUCAUACUAUCAAGCUUGGAAGGAAGUGCAAUGAUUGCAUUCCAUAUCUCCUGGUCUCUAACAUUCCUUUAUCAGGGGACAUCUGGAGGAAUCAGCAAAAAGCCAUGUUGCUGAGGGUGGGGGAGGGAGGAGGGUUUCAACACUUUCAUUUUCACAUUGACAUGAUGAUAUAAAGGAGCUGGAUGCAGGAACAGAGUAGAUGACUAUAUGAGACCCCAGCACCUGUGACAAAGUGAUGUGUUUAACUCUGGCCUUCAUCUUUUUAUCUUUGUUGUGCUGGAGAUUGAACCCAGGGCCUUGUGCAUGCUAGGUAAAUGCUCUACCACUGAGAUACAUCCCCAGCCCAACCCUGGCAUCCCUUUAAUCACAUGGCAUUGCCACAAAGAUAGAAGAAUGAAGGGGUAGUUAGGACACAGAGGAAGCUUGAUGGGCAGGGGUAACAACUGUAAAAUUUGUC